AUCAUUUGAGAGUGCAUUUUGUUUCUCCUCCAAUCCGCUACACAGAGCUCAAUCCCGAUAUGCCCAAUGGGGAGAAGGGGUGGCUCUAACGAAUUUGAAUGAAGAGAGUAUCUUUCGGCGCCAUUUUCGAGUUAGCUGCGUUUACUUCAACAGCUGUGAGGAGCGGCUGCUGAGGGUAGGCAAGUCAAGCGCUGGAGCUGUCGAAAGAGAAGAUUUUUUUCCCCCAGACACUCAAAUAUCACAAACAUAUUAAAAUUAUCCCGGAAAAAGAACACCGAUGGAUGGUGGACGAAUUAAAGGAAAAUAAGUAAAAGAGUACGUCGUAUCGACCGGUGGAGACGUUAGAUGGUUAGCUAGUGAAUGCUAGCGAGAAGAAAGGGGUGUCUGACUUGGCUAUUUUGAGAAAUGCAACAUUUAGAAAAACAUUUGCGACAAAUUAGUGGACCUUUCUAAAAAAUAAUAAAAAAAUUGAGAAAUUAUUUCAGGGUCAAGUGAGUGGAGUAUGACCGGUGGAAUGUGGAUUUUUUACUAUUAUAGUCCUUUUUUGGAACGUUCAGUUUGAGCGGGAGGCACUGAACAGACUGUCGGCACGGCUGUCAACAACAAAUGCACAGCAAGCUGUGGCUUGAUAUCGCUACCUUUUGUUGAAAUACAUACAAUGAUACCAAUGAUUUAAAUACUUUUUAAGGUUUGUAAGGCUGAGGACACAGUUUCAUAUGUUCAUUUUUUCUAUUUUUGAGGAAUUUAAGUAUAAGUAGUCGCUUACCUACUCAUUUUAUCAUGUUUUCUAGUUAAGUUAACGUUAGUGGAUUCGCCUGAUGGAAAGCUUUUCACAACCUCUUAUGUGCUGUGUUGGAGUGAGAAGGGCCCUACUGUAACAGACCCGCCUGACCGUGAAUGGGGAGAUUGCACACUGGGCUGAUAGAUUGGUGCUCGGAGGUCACUCGCAAGUCUCCAUUAGUGGAGUCGCGUGAAAUGAACAAACUGUGUGUUUGACUGUGUGUAGGCUUUGUUUGUGUGAGUGUGUACCUUCUCUGACAUUGGUGUUGUGCAGAGGGAACCCCAGUCAGUCAGUUAGCUCUGCGGUCACUCUGCCUGCCUUGUGCUCUACUGGGCAUGUGUUGUGUUGGACAAUUGGGAAUGGGCUGCUGGAGUUUUUUCAGGAUUAACACCCACAACUGCAUGACUGGUGUUUCUAUGGCUUAGAAGGGUUCCUAUUUAUAGAUGUCAGGCCUGGUGUAAAUUACUAUAAACAAUAAACUGAACCUCUACCUCCCUGCCUGCACACACCCCUGUCCAAAACAGUUACCUCUGGCUAGUUACUCACCACAUUAAACUCUACUAUUUUACGGUGAAAUGAACUCUCUAAAAGACAUGAAUACACCCAAACCAAGUGUGGAAUGGUCAGCUUUAAGUCCCUAACCAUUCUAGAUGAAUGCUGAGAAUUGUGAUUUUUGUUUAAUGUGACUGGAUUUUGGUAGUUGGGUUCUGUUAAUAGUGAUUAUAUUCUGUUCAAUUUAUUGUAAUGAUUUUAUGAAAAAUGCAGUGUCACGUGUGGGGGAGGGAUAGUAAGAAAUGUGUUUGUAGGUUGUGUGUCAUUGAAGUAUAAUUCAAAUGUAGGCCUAUAUUAUAUUUUAGAAAGUGAAUGCCAUCUUUAAAAAGUCAAACAUUCUUAGAUAAUGGACAAGAACAUCCCUCCAUACACAAGUACCCAGUUCUUCCAACUUCAGUCUAGUUACACCAUGUAGUUACACCAUGUCAUGGUGUAACUAGACUAAAGUUGGAAGUACAUCUGUGUUAUUGUGUAUGGAGGGAUAUCCUUGAUAAUAAAGCCAUAGCUAAGGAAAUUGCUCUAUUAUGUUAAGUUUGACUUUUUUUAAAUUUUUUAUAUAGAUUUAUCUAGUGUGCCAUUUUAGAUGUAUGUGAAGUUGCAUGGGACUGCUUUCAAAACUAAAAUCCUUUCCCAGAAUGCAAUAUCAGGCUUCUAUAACUUGUCCAGUAAUUUGAGAUGUAUUUGCAUUUUUGGUACUAGUUGCUGUCUAAACUGAAUUAUGAUGUGACUGCUUUUCAUACUCGACAGCAUUGUGCAUACAAUCCUCAUAACCUACUUAAAAUAAUGUAAGAAAAAUGAUAACUUCCCUCAACUAAAGUCUGGAUGUAUCAACUCUAUCAAAUUAAUUAUUUAAAUGACAAUCAUUCUCCCAUUUGAAUAACAAUAAAGCAACAUUUGAACAUUUGCAUAAAACAAUUGUCAGUACAGUUUAGAAACUUCUUAGAAAUUUACCAUAUAGCCUACACAACAUAUACGCACAUAGCAGAACAGACUUUUGUGUUACAAAUGAGGCUAAACUAAAUUUGCUCUUGACAAGAGAAGGGUUUGUGAUGGGGGGGGUCUAGAGCGUCCUGCCCCUGUGGAAAGGGGUCACUCGACCUUUGCCCCGAGAGUCAGGUCACUCUGAGUUGAUUAUUGAGGGUGCGAGCCAUAGGAACGGAUUAAAAGGCUGAGGAGCAGAGGAGACAAUGGGAGAGAGCAGGGAAAGGUUAAAGCCAUAAUGGUGUGUGUGUGGAUAUUGGGUUGUAGUGACAACUGGUCAAGACUCCUCUUGGCCCACUGACGCAGUCUGAGGCCUCAUUCAAUCACCUGGUUCGUGAGUUAAUUUAUGAUUUUUCAUAAAGGUAAAGCGGGAGCGAGAGAGAGAGACCCAGAGAGAGAAUGUCUCAAGGAGUGGUGUGUGUGGAGUGCACAAGUGUAUUAUUCUUCUUUCUUUAGAUCAAAUCGGGUUAGAUUUAUUUUUCAAUCAACCGGGAGAGCGGGAAUGGGAAUAAUUAGAAAAAUAUGACAUGCCUGACUUGAAAUGUAAUCAACUGAUAUGAAGUAAGUCUGUAUACUGUAGUUGCUGGUAUGGAAAGUGGGUUAAAGUGGUACAGAUUGUUUAAUUCUUUAUUACGAUGUACAUGAGUCGGAAGCAUUAAUAUUAUUCAGGCAAUAAUUAAGAUUUCUCGUGUUUGUAUUUAUAUAGUGACCAGAAUACACCUUUGUUACCGCAUUGAAAAAUUCUAUGGAUUUUCACUUUUAAUUGGUGUUCUAGAUAAACCACUAUAAAACUUGGACCUUAUAUUUCUAGUUUUGUCAGCAUCAUGAAAUAUAGGCCAGUUGCAAUUGAGGCCCCCAUUUCAAAACCUCUUUUAAAAAGGGGACAUAUUUAAGUGACCUAUCUAGAAGUCAUUUGUGGUUUGCUUUGCUGCACAUUUAGUUGUCAGUGGCUAUUUAACUAAUUCUCUGAGAGAAUUUGUAUUCAGUAUGAGGGAAACGGAAAUCUAUUAAUCAUUACUUUUCUUCCGUGUCUUUUGACCCACCUUGUCUAAAUUAAUAUUUGUGCCUCAGAGAGGGAGAGUGUGUAUUUGUAUCCCUCACUCACACUCUGUCCUGGUUAAGUACUUUCUGUUCUAUGAACACUUAGCAGAACACAAUGGAGCAGGCAUUAUCUUUGUAACCCAAAAGUGCUCAGCCACAGAACACCUGGGAUACUGCCAUCAAUGAUCAACACUAUCUCCUGGUCAUGUAGAUUUUGUGUAUCAUACUUACCGUGGAGUCUUGUACCAGUGAAAAGGCUUCAAGUUGAGGCUCACCAAAAUCUUAAACUGAAAUGGUAAAAAAAUAUGAAAUACUGAAAAGAUUGUGUUAGGAGGCCAUAGGAUGCAAUGAUCUGAAAUUCUAAUAAAUUAAAACACAGCCUAUCAGCUGUUUAGUAUAAUUUCACCUUGCAAUAUUUUGGGGGGUAAAUGACUAAAGAUAUUAUUUCUCAUUAUAUGGUGUAACUUGAGUGAAAAUGAAAUCCUGUGAGAAAAUCCUAGGCCAAAUGUCUUUUUAGCUAACUGGCAGUGCUGCUGUUAAUUUAGAAGUUGUAGUGUAAUUAAACUGUGUAAGAUGCCAAAUGUUUGUGUUCACUUCUCUGCUCCCACCCUGUAAUAACGGGGCCCAUCUCCUGACACAGCACUGUUAACGCUGGGUUAUUUCCUUAUACACCCACAGUUGUCCAAGAUGGCGUCAUUGUUUGUUAAUCAUUAUAAACACCUGCGUAGAGAAUAGAAAAACCACACAUUAUUCUCUCUAUCAUUUCUGAUGUGUUUUCCAAAUGCUUUAUUUUAAGCUCUGACAAGGUCCAGUUGUAAUUCAUGGCGAUGGACUUCAUAUCCUUGGAUUUUGGAUGCCUCUGUUGUACACACAGAUUUGUGGUCAUAUUUUUCACACACAACUCAGUCCCCUUCUAAUAAGUUACACCAAUCAUUUAUGAAGAUGCUAUCGCUGGCUGGCCAGGGGGGAGUGGAUCAUCAACUUUCCCCUUUGACCAGAUGGAAGUUUAAGGAUGUUUCAUUCAAACAGCAGUCAACCAUUUUUUUUUUUUUUCAGUAAAAUAAAUGUGACUUAGCAGAGUUGGGGACUAGUCUUUUUUUAUAACUGUCAAGUGAUUUGGACAUUGUGAUUUGAUAUUUAUGUCCCUUUGUCAUGCUGUGGUUCAGUCUAAUAGUACUUCUGUUCUACUGAUCUUAGGGGAUAUAGUGAGCAAUGAAUUUUCAUUCUUGAACUGACUGAUUACUUUCAAAAUUGGCAUUUUCUAGAGGUAUAGCAAUUGCCAGAUUUUUAUUGUUGAAUAAUUAAUAUGUACAUGUCUGAGCUGUAAUAUAUGUAAUUUUGGAWACAAAAUGCUGUAUGAAGAUGAAUUAUAUUUACUCUAACCCAAGCCUUGGGGCCAGAUUUAUAAACGUUGCACUAUAGUUUAGCUAAGUAAAACUGGCCUGAUGUGUGAUUUGAAAGUGAAGUGAUUGAAACUGCAUCACCMCUUCAAUUUAGCUGAUUCAGUCUCAACCUGUCAUAAUACACAAACACACGUGAUCUGUUGUAGAAGAGAGAAAAAAAGUACAACCUCAGUACUUUGCCUUUUUUAUUUAGCUGAUUAUUUACCCCCAUUCUCUCCUGUGCUUUGCAGAUGGUUUGAGUCCUGGAGUUCCUUUCAGACACCGAUAGACCAUCUGGAUGCUGCUUUCGGUGAUUCCUCACAAAACUUCAAAUUAUUAUUUUCCACAAUGUAAUCCAUAUAAUGUUCCUUUGGAGGAAGUAUUGUUGGCAUAUAUUUCACAAUUUGUAUCUAAAAGUAUAUUUGAGAAAUAAUCAAUCCAUGUUGGCCUACCUAGACACCAUUAGACACCAUAACUGUUGAUCUAUAUGGAGCACAAACAUAAUCUUCAUGUCAUUUAAAACGUCAUUGUGUGCUCUAAAAUGAGAAACAUUUAUGUAAAUGUAUUAUGAUUUUGAAAAGUAUGAAAAUUAUCAAUUUUUCUCAUUGUGUUUUAUGGACUGUUUUACUGACAGAAGGUAAGAGUGGGAUCUCUGGGACUUUUUUUUGUUAGUUAUGACCAAAUGUAUGUGGUGGGGGUAUGUUGAACUCCAUUCUUCCUAUUGCGAGUACAGAACAGCAGAGUACAGUACAUUAUACUGUACUCUGGUGUACUGUACUGACCUAUAGUCUACUUUUCUGUAGUGAGCUAUACUGUACUGAACGCUACUCUGCUGUUCUGUACUGGCAAUAGAAAGAAUGGAGUUCUACAUACCCCCACCCCACAUAUUUGGUCAUAACUCAAAAAGUCCCAGAGCUCCCACUCUAACCUUCUGUCAGUAAAAUAUGAGAAAUUGAAGUCGCUAUAUUUGUGAUAUUAAUUUCCAUACUUUUCCAAAUAUUAAAUGUACAUUUAAAUCUUGCAUAAUGAAAUGUUUUACUCAUUUUAGUGGAUACAAUGAGGUUUCAAAUGACAAGAUGCAGUUUGUGCCCCAUAUAGAUCAACAGUUAUGGUAUCUUGCAAUGCUCCUGGGUAUGGCUGAAAUGUCAAAUAUGCUAACUUGGAUACAUUUUUUCUCAAAUAUGCAUUUAGAUACAAAUGUCAAAUAUAUGUCAACAAUACUUCAUCUUAAGGACCAUUUUAUGGAUAAAAUUGUGACAAUCCAAAAAAUUCCCUUUUGUUCUAGUUUCAUGUGGAAUCACCGUUUCUUUCUCUGAUGUGUGAGGGAGAGAGAGUGAGCCAGAGGAUGAGGGUAUGCAGGAGAGGGAGUUGGAGAGGAUGUGUGUGUUUGCAGGGAGUGCUGAGGGGAGUGAGAGGUGUGUGUGUAAGGGAGAGAAUCAGAUGAUGAGAGAUGGAGCUGGUUGUGGUGGUGCUGUAGCAGCACAGAAUGGUUUGUGGGUUACACAGAGAUGCAGGCCGUACUGUGCUGCCGCAGUAACGCCUGGACAGACGGCAUCUGUGGAACUACCCGGAAGAGUGUGUGUGUGUGUGUGUGUGUGUGUGUGUGUGGGAUCCGACUGCCUCAUCACUGGCUGCCUUGCUGUAGCAGCACGUAAAUAUUGGAGUUAAAACUACUGCUGAAGCCUCCAGUAUUGAACGUGCUGCUGAAGCAAAGCUGACCGCUUACCACCGUUAACUUACGCCGAGUCUGCAUGCAUCAGUCCCUCUGCUGCGCAUCGCAGGAGAACGGUGCACAAGAGAAGACACCGACUGGAGAGGGACGCUGUGUUUCGUCAUCUUUAUGACAGGUACAUAAUUGUUUUUGUCCAUUUCACUUUUUUAUAUGUAUGUUGUAUUUUAUAGUUCAUUUUUUGGGGGUUAUGUUCAUAUAUUUGUACAUACAUUAACAUUUUCUUUGCACAUUAAAUCAUGCAAACAAGUAAUAAUUUAGACUGGCCCAUGUYUUUUUUGUAUUGAAACUGAUUUGUAUUGCAUUCUCUAAUAAACGUUUUUGAAAUGA